GCGCCUGUCGUACAAUGGUAGUACCUCAGCCUUCCAAGCUGAUGAUGUGGGUUCGAUUCCCAUCGGGCGCU
rnacentral:tRNA from 1 species